CGCUGGCGGCGUGCCUAAUACAUGCAAGUCGAACGGCUUUUCUAUGGAAGCUUGCUUCCACUGAGAAGAUAGUGGCGAACGGGUGAGUAACACGUGGGUAACCUGCCCAUAAGAGGGGGAUAACAUCCGGAAACGGGUGCUAAUACCGCAUAGUUUUCUUGAUCGCAUGAUUGAGAAAGGAAAGAUGGCCUUUGUGCUGUCGCUUAUGGAUGGACCCGCGGCGUAUUAGUUAGUUGGUGAGGUAACGGCUCACCAAGACGAUGAUACGUAGCCGACCUGAGAGGGUGAUCGGCCACAUUGGGACUGAGACACGGCCCAAACUCCUACGGGAGGCAGCAGUAGGGAAUCUUCCGCAAUGGACGAAAGUCUGACGGAGCAACGCCGCGUGAGUGAAGAAGGUUUUCGGAAUCGUAAAACUCUGUUGUCAGAGAAGAACAAGUUGGAGAGUAACUGCUCCAGCCUUGACGGUAUCUGACCAGAAAGCCACGGCUAACUACGUGCCAGCAGCUGC
rnacentral:rRNA from 1 species